rnacentral:misc_RNA from 1 species
GAUGAAGAACGCAGCGAAAUGCGAUACGUAAUGUGAAUUGCAGAAUUCAGUGAAUCAUCGAGUCUUUGAACGCACAUUGCGCCCCCUGGUAUUCCGGGGGGCAUGCCUGUCCGAGCGUCAUUGCUGCCCUCAAGCACGGCUUGUGUGUUGGGCCUCCGUCCUCCUCCCGGGGGACGGGCCCGAAAGGCAGCGGCGGCACCGCGUCCGGUCCUCGAGCGUAUGGGGCUUCGUCACCCGCUCUUGUAGGCCCGGCCGGCGCUUGCCGACACAUCAAUCUUUUUUCCAGGUUGACCUCAGAUCAGGUAGGGAUACCCGCUGAACUUAAGCAUAUCAAUAAGCGGAGGA